rnacentral:lncRNA from 1 species
GAACUAGAGAUAAGGAUUCAGUCAGCAAUAAAUAUUUUUUAAGAUUUUUAAUCAAUCCCACUUAAACUAUAUGGAUUAAUGUGGGCAGGGCACUGUGUUAAGUACUGGAGAUAAACAGAUCAGCACAGUAGGCAAGACUUCUGACCACAUGGACCUGAUGCUCCAGCCAGAGUCAUUAGCAGGUGAAGAAAUGGGAUUUGAAGAAAAUACCAAAUUUCGCCCCAGGACAUGCAUUGACAGAACUGAUGGAUCCCAAGUUGUGUGUCAAAGUUGAAGCUGCACCCCAGGGCUAUUUGAUUCCCUCCCAGCCUUAUUUCUCCAUAAAAUUGGUAGCUGUUUGCAUACGAUUACAGAUGACAAAAUAAAGAAAGGUUACAGGAUCUGAGACAGCUUUGCCAAGAAACUUGAAAUAUUCGGGGACCCCCUAAUGUCCCAGCAGGCCCCAAGGUGAAGCAGUCACUGUGGCCAAACCUGCUGUGCCAGAUUUAUUCUAAAUUCUGAAACCUCCAUGCUGAGAGGUGGAACUCUGUCUCUUGUUAAAAGUGUCCCAUGUGCUCUUUGUUUUAGAUCCCAGUGCUUUGGAGAUGUUUAGGCUACUGGAUUUUCACCAGCACAGAGAGAACUUCGUAGAAUUGCUAGGAAAUGGAGCCAGCUCUCUAUGUACAGGGAAUUUUCCACAGCGUCCUU